rnacentral:rRNA from 1 species
UUAAGCGACUAAGCGUACACGGUGGAUGCCCUGGCAGUCAGAGGCGAUGAAGGACGUGCUAAUCUGCGAUAAGCGUCGGUAAGGUGAUAUGAACCGUUAUAACCGGCGAUUUCCGAAUGGGGAAACCCAGUGUGUUUCGACACACUAUCAUUAACUGAAUCCAUAGGUUAAUGAGGCGAACCGGGGGAACUGAAACAUCUAAGUACCCCGAGGAAAAGAAAUCAACCGAGAUUCCCCCAGUAGCGGCGAGCGAACGGGGAGCAGCCCAGAGCCUGAAUCAGUGUGUGUGUUAGUGGAAGCGUCUGGAAAGGCGCGCGAUACAGGGUGACAGCCCCGUACACAAAAAUGCACAUGCUGUGAGCUCGAUGAGUAGGGCGGGACACGUGGUAUCCUGUCUGAAUAUGGGGGGACCAUCCUCCAAGGCUAAAUACUCCUGACUGACCGAUAGUGAACCAGUACCGUGAGGGAAAGGCGAAAAGAACCCCGGCGAGGGGAGUGAAAAAGAACCUGAAACCGUGUACGUACAAGCAGUGGGAGCACGCUUAGGCGUGUGACUGCGUACCUUUUGUAUAAUGGGUCAGCGACUUAUAUUCUGUAGCAAGGUUAACCGAAUAGGGGAGCCGAAGGGAAACCGAGUCUUAACUGGGCGUUAAGUUGCAGGGUAUAGACCCGAAACCCGGUGAUCUAGCCAUGGGCAGGUUGAAGGUUGGGUAACACUAACUGGAGGACCGAACCGACUAAUGUUGAAAAAUUAGCGGAUGACUUGUGGCUGGGGGUGAAAGGCCAAUCAAACCGGGAGAUAGCUGGUUCUCCCCGAAAGCUAUUUAGGUAGCGCCUCGUGAAUUCAUCUCCGGGGGUAGAGCACUGUUUCGGCAAGGGGGUCAUCCCGACUUACCAACCCGAUGCAAACUGCGAAUACCGGAGAAUGUUAUCACGGGAGACACACGGCGGGUGCUAACGUCCGUCGUGAAGAGGGAAACAACCCAGACCGCCAGCUAAGGUCCCAAAGUCAUGGUUAAGUGGGAAACGAUGUGGGAAGGCCCAGACAGCCAGGAUGUUGGCUUAGAAGCAGCCAUCAUUUAAAGAAAGCGUAAUAGCUCACUGGUCGAGUCGGCCUGCGCGGAAGAUGUAACGGGGCUAAACCAUGCACCGAAGCUGCGGCAGCGACGCUUAUGCGUUGUUGGGUAGGGGAGCGUUCUGUAAGCCUGCGAAGGUGUGCUGUGAGGCAUGCUGGAGGUAUCAGAAGUGCGAAUGCUGACAUAAGUAACGAUAAAGCGGGUGAAAAGCCCGCUCGCCGGAAGACCAAGGGUUCCUGUCCAACGUUAAUCGGGGCAGGGUGAGUCGACCCCUAAGGCGAGGCCGAAAGGCGUAGUCGAUGGGAAACAGGUUAAUAUUCCUGUACUUGGUGUUACUGCGAAGGGGGGACGGAGAAGGCUAUGUUGGCCGGGCGACGGUUGUCCCGGUUUAAGCGUGUAGGCUGGUUUUCCAGGCAAAUCCGGAAAAUCAAGGCUGAGGCGUGAUGACGAGGCACUACGGUGCUGAAGCAACAAAUGCCCUGCUUCCAGGAAAAGCCUCUAAGCAUCAGGUAACAUCAAAUCGUACCCCAAACCGACACAGGUGGUCAGGUAGAGAAUACCAAGGCGCUUGAGAGAACUCGGGUGAAGGAACUAGGCAAAAUGGUGCCGUAACUUCGGGAGAAGGCACGCUGAUAUGUAGGUGAAGCGACUUGCUCGUGGAGCUGAAAUCAGUCGAAGAUACCAGCUGGCUGCAACUGUUUAUUAAAAACACAGCACUGUGCAAACACGAAAGUGGACGUAUACGGUGUGACGCCUGCCCGGUGCCGGAAGGUUAAUUGAUGGGGUCAGCGCAAGCGAAGCUCUUGAUCGAAGCCCCGGUAAACGGCGGCCGUAACUAUAACGGUCCUAAGGUAGCGAAAUUCCUUGUCGGGUAAGUUCCGACCUGCACGAAUGGCGUAAUGAUGGCCAGGCUGUCUCCACCCGAGACUCAGUGAAAUUGAACUCGCUGUGAAGAUGCAGUGUACCCGCGGCAAGACGGAAAGACCCCGUGAACCUUUACUAUAGCUUGACACUGAACAUUGAGCCUUGAUGUGUAGGAUAGGUGGGAGGCUUUGAAGUGUGGACGCCAGUCUGCAUGGAGCCGACCUUGAAAUACCACCCUUUAAUGUUUGAUGUUCUAACGUUGGCCCCUAAUCGGGGUUGCGGACAGUGUCUGGUGGGUAGUUUGACUGGGGCGGUCUCCUCCUAAAGAGUAACGGAGGAGCACGAAGGUUGGCUAAUCCUGGUCGGACAUCAGGAGGUUAGUGCAAUGGCAUAAGCCAGCUUGACUGCGAGCGUGACGGCGCGAGCAGGUGCGAAAGCAGGUCAUAGUGAUCCGGUGGUUCUGAAUGGAAGGGCCAUCGCUCAACGGAUAAAAGGUACUCCGGGGAUAACAGGCUGAUACCGCCCAAGAGUUCAUAUCGACGGCGGUGUUUGGCACCUCGAUGUCGGCUCAUCACAUCCUGGGGCUGAAGUAGGUCCCAAGGGUAUGGCUGUUCGCCAUUUAAAGUGGUACGCGAGCUGGGUUUAGAACGUCGUGAGACAGUUCGGUCCCUAUCUGCCGUGGGCGCUGGAGAACUGAGGGGGGCUGCUCCUAGUACGAGAGGACCGGAGUGGACGCAUCACUGGUGUUCGGGUUGUCAUGCCAAUGGCACUGCCCGGUAGCUAAAUGCGGAAGAGAUAAGUGCUGAAAGCAUCUAAGCACGAAACUUGCCCCGAGAUGAGUUCUCCCUGACUCCUUGAGAGUCCUGAAGGAACGUUGAAGACGACGACGUUGAUAGGCCGGGUGUGUAAGCGCAGCGAUGCGUUGAGCUAACCGGUACUAAUGAACCGUGAGGCUUAACCUU